GUGUGUGUGUGUGUGUAUAUAUGUGUGUGUGUGUGUGUGUGUGUAUAUAUAUAUACAUAUACAUAUACAUAUACAUAUACAUAUACAUACAUACAUAUAUAUAUAUAUAUAUAUAUAUAUA
rnacentral:miRNA from 11 species